rnacentral:sRNA from 1 species
AUAGGUCGAUCCAGUGGACGUCAUCCUUCGCCGUCUUCUGAAUAUCGACGUACA